rnacentral:rRNA from 1 species
UACGUAGGGUGCAAGCGUUAAUCGGAAUUACUGGGCGUAAAGCGUGCGCAGGCGGUUUUGUAAGUCUGUUGUGAAAGCCCCGGGCUCAACCUGGGAAUUGCGAUGGAGACUGCAAGGCUUGAAUCUGGCAGAGGGGGGUAGAAUUCCACGUGUAGCAGUGAAAUGCGUAGAGAUGUGGAGGAAUACCGAUGGCGAAGGCAGCCCCCUGGGCCAAUACUGACGCUCAUGCACGAAAGCGUGGGGAGCAAACAGG